rnacentral:misc_RNA from 1 species
GAGAGAGAGAGAGAGAGACCUGAUUCUUCAAAAUUCCAUUUUUUCGUCACCAAUUUAAGGAACAGAGGUAUUUAUGGCCAAACGUUGUGCUCCAGAUAAUUCACAACAUAAAAAUGGCAAACAACCCAAAUAGGGUAAAACAUUUGAGAUGCAUGUUUUGUUCAAGAAGAAUCACAAAAAGUAACUUAUUUGGCAUACAUACACAAUGUUAUAAAAAAUGGCAUUAACAAUGUAAGAUGCAAAUAUUUUGAAUAAAAACAGAGCAGCGGAAUUUGAC